rnacentral:lncRNA from 1 species
UGUCACCACAGAUGAGUUACGUUCUAAAUAAGGUGAGAUGGGGAAUGGACUCGGAGGCCUUUUAUGGUUUUGGCACGGACGAUACGGUAACUCAGGAUCCAAACCCAAUCGGGCACGAAGCCAAAAUGUGGUGGGGGCCAUUGGGGGGACCGGUCGGGCGACAUUCCGCUCGUCAAAGGGCGAACACUCAAGGUCGGAGAUGAAAUGGAGGGUGCGGACACGUGACUGGACCAGGUUGUAACCAGUUUUAUCGAAUUAUAAAAAAUUCGAUCAUGGAAAAAUUUAAAAGUGAAAAAUGUAUACAGGAUAUAUAUAUAUAUAUAUUUUUUUUUCCUCUGUAAGAUCUCAA